rnacentral:rRNA from 1 species
GAUGAACGCUAGCGGCAGGCCUAACACAUGCAAGUCGAGGGGUAGAACACUUCGGUGUUUGAGACCGGCGCACGGGUGCGUAACGCGUAUGCAAUCUACCUUAUACAGGGGAAUAGCCCAGAGAAAUUUGGAUUAAUGCCCCAUAGUAUUAUUGAAUGGCAUCAUUUAAUAAUUAAAGUUCCAACGGUAUAAGAUGAGCAUGCGUCCCAUUAGUUAGUUGGUAAGGUAACGGCUUACCAAGACGAUGAUGGGUAGGGGUCCUGAGAGGGAGAUCCCCCACACUGGUACUGAGACACGGACCAGACUCCUACGGGAGGCAGCAGUGAGGAAUAUUGGUCAAUGGUCGCAAGACUGAACCAGCCAUGCCGCGUGCAGGAAGACGGUCCUAUGGAUUGUAAACUGCUUUUAUACAGGAAGAAACCCCCCCACGUGUGGGAGCUUGACGGUACUGUAGGAAUAAGGAUCGGCUAACUCCGUGCCAGCCGCCGCUGUAACAC